rnacentral:rRNA from 1 species
GACGAAGGCGGCAAGCGUUGCUCGGAAUCACUGGGCAUAAAGCGCGCGUAGGUGGCUUGAUAAGUCGGUGGUGAAAUCCCAUGGCUCAACCAUGGAACUGCCGUCGAUACUGUCAGGCUUGAGGGCGGUAGGGGAGAGUGGAACUCCUGGUGUAGCGGUGAAAUGCGUAGAUAUCAGGAGGAACGCCGGUGGCGAAAGCGACUCUCUGGGCUGACACUGACGCUCAUGCACGAAAGCGUGGGGAGCAAACAGG